rnacentral:rRNA from 1 species
ACACGUAUGAAAGUCAAGCUGAAAGACUUUACUCAAUGAUGUAAGUGGUGGUGCAUGGUCGUUCGUAGUUCGUGGAUUGAUUUGUCUGGUUUAUUCCGAUAACGAGCGAGACCCCAACGUUCCUAAUAGGAGCUUUAGCCCGGUGCGUCGCAAGGCGUACUAGCUAUCGCUUAAAGAUUUGCUUCUUAGACGUAUCAGAGCCGAUAAGGCGCUUGAAAUGGGUUAAUAACAGGUCAGUGAUGCCCUUAGAUGUUCUGGGCCGCACGCGCGUUACAAUGGCAUGUAAAGCGAGUGCUUCUCCAAAGGCUUUGCCGGGGCUGAAAGGUCUCGGUAAUCCCUAAUCCCUGCCUUGACUGGGAUAGAUCAUUGCAAUUAUUGGUCUCCAACGAGGAAUUUUUAGUAGGCGCAGGUCAUUAACCUGCGUCGA